rnacentral:rRNA from 1 species
UACGUAGGCAGCAAGCGUUGUUCGGAGUUACUGGGCGUAAAGAGUGCGUAGGCGGUCCUAUAAGUUCCGUGUGAAAUCUCCCGGCUCAACUGGGAGGGUGCGCGGAAGACUGUAGGGCUUGAGUGUGGGAGAGGUAAGCGGAAUUCCUGGUGUAGCGGUGAAAUGCGUAGAUAUCAGGAAGAACACCAAUGGCGAAGGCAGCUCUCUGGGACGGUACUGACGCUGAGACGCGAAAGCGUGGGGAGCGAACAGG